GAAAAUUCUUCAAGAAACGAAUUGGGUUCAUCGAUACCAGCUUGUGGGUUGAGGUAGUGAUGAAUGGAAGAGAUUGUUUGUUCCGUAGAUUCAACAAUGACGGUAGGACACCAAAGGGGUGUCCAUCCUUUGAGAUGUAUGAGUUCAGAUAAUCUUGGUGCGUAGUUUUGGGGAGUGGUAAAAGCGAUGACACAGUUUCUUCUACUGUUUUCAGGG
rnacentral:misc_RNA from 1 species